rnacentral:rRNA from 1 species
AGCAGAGAUGCUUUGGUGCCUUUCGGGAACUCUGAGACAGGUGCUGCAUGGCUGUCGUCAGCUCGUGUUGUGAAAUGUUGGGUUUAAGUCCCGCAACGAGCGCAACCCUUUAUCCUUUGUUGCCAGCGGUCCGGCCGGGAACUCAAAGGAGACUGCCAGUGAUAAACUGGAGGAAGGUGGGGAUGACGUCAAGUCAUCAUGGCCCUUACGAGUAGGGCUACACACGUGCUACAAUGGCGCAUACAAAGAGAAGCGACCUCGCGAGAGCAAGCGGACCUCAUAAAGUGCGUCGUAGUCCGGAUUGGAGUCUGCAACUCGACUCCAUGAAGUCGGAAUCGCUAGUAAUCGUAGAUCAGAAUGCUACGGUGAAUACGUUCCCGGGCCUUGUACACACCGCCCGUCACACCAUGGGAGUGGGUUGCAAAAGAAGUAGGUAGCUUAACCUUCGGGAGGGCGCUUACCACUUUGUGAUUCAUGACUGGGGUGAAGUCGUAACAAGGUAGGCGUAGCGAG